UGGUGGUGCAUGGCCGUUCUUAGUUGGUGGAGUGAUUUGUCUGGUUAAUUCCGAUAACGAACGAGACCUUAACCUGCUAACUAGAUUCAUCAGUACUACUUUUGAUAUCUUCUUAGAGGGACUAUGUAAUACAAAUACAUGGAAGUUUGAGGCAAUAACAGGUCAGUGAUGCCCUUAUAUGUCCUGGGCUGCACGCGUGCUACACUGAUGCAUACAACAAGUGCCUAGCCAGACAUGGUAUGGCAAUCUCGAAUAUGCAUCGUGAUGGGGAUAGAUCUUUGCAAUU
rnacentral:rRNA from 1 species